AGCCUCCUGCCAGAGGGGAGGGGGGUGAACAGUUUGUGUCCAGGGUGGGAGGGGUCAGCCACUAUCUUCCCUGCCCGCCUCAGGGUCCUGGAGGCAUGCAGGUCGUGCAGGGAUGGCAGAUUGCAGCCGAUCACCUUCUCUGCAGAGCGGAUGACACGCUUUAGCCUGCCCUUAUCCUUGGCUGUGGCUGCGGCGCACCAGAUGGUGAUGGAGGAGGUGAGCUAGUUAAGGAUCUAAAGUCCUCUGACGUUGCAAUCCAGCAAAAAGCAAUAGAGACAGCUGAUGGAUACAUUGCUGAGUUGGACGAGCCCUGCAGGACAACAGUCAACAAGACUACAAUCAACACAAACACACCAGGUCAGCCUUCCUUGGGCCUGCAGAAUAGAAGUCCAGGUGAGCGGGUUAUAUGUUUGUCCCUUGCAUUGAAUUUAAACAAUGUUUAAGCUCACGUUU